rnacentral:lncRNA from 1 species
AGAAAUUAAAAAGAGAUAGAGAGAAUCAGGCUAAAAAAAGAUAAUCAUCUGCACAUCCAUUGAAACCCUCUCUACGGCAUUCAGUACAGUGAGGGUUCUAAUUUCAUGUCUGAGCCUCGUUGCAUUGAGACCAAGCUUUUAUUUGCUUAUACAUUUGUCGAGUCUCAAAUUUAUCAGUUGAAAGUUGUUACAGCAAGUACAAAAAUAGAGCACACAC